rnacentral:snoRNA from 1 species
AAGACUGUACCUUCAGGGAUCAUUCGUUACCAGAAAGAUUUCUCUGAAUGCGUGGAACACAGAGUCUGAGGAGGAGUGCAGUUCCUUCUCCAGGGUGAAGCCUGCUCUUGGUGUUGCUUUGCUGCAGCUGGCAUUUGCCAUUGAUGAUUGUUCUUCUCUUCCUUUUGGGGACAUAAGAAGAGGAGGGCACUGUCUGAGUGGU